UACAGAGGGGGCGAGCGUUGUUCGGAAUUACUGGGCGUAAAGGGCGCGUAGGCGGCCUUCUAAGUCGAACGUGAAAUCCCCGGGCUCAACCCGGGAACUGCGUCCGAUACUGGGAGGCUUGAAUCCGGGAGAGGGAUGUGGAAUUCCAGGUGUAGCGGUGAAAUGCGUAGAGAUCCGGAGGAACACCAGGGGCGAAGGCGGCCGACUGGCCGAGUGCUGACGCUGAGGCGCGACGGCGUGGGGAGCAAACCGG
rnacentral:rRNA from 1 species